GAUCAGGGCUCAGGAUGAACGCUAGCUACAGGCUUAACACAUGCAAGUCGAGGGGCAGCAUGUUGGUUGCUUGCAACCGAUGAUGGCGACCGGCGCACGGGUGAGUAACGCGUAUCCAACCUACCCUUGUCCAUCGGAUAACCCGUCGAAAGGCGGCCUAACACGAUAUGCGGUUCACCGCAGGCAUCUAACGUGAACGAAAUGUGAAGGAGAAGGGAUGGGGAUGCGUCUGAUUAG
rnacentral:rRNA from 1 species